rnacentral:rRNA from 1 species
UACGAAGGGGGCGAGCGUUGUUCGGAUUUACUGGGCGUAAAGGGCGCGCAGGCGGCACAUUUUGUCAGGCGUGAAAGCCCCGGGCUUAACCUGGGAACUGCGUUUGAUACGGAUGGGCUAGAGUUCGGGAGAGGAGAGUGGAAUUCCCAGUGUAGAGGUGAAAUUCGUAGAUAUUGGGAAGAACACCGGUGGCGAAGGCGGCUCUCUGGACCGAGACUGACACUGAGGAGCGAAAGCCAGGGGAGCAAACGGG